GAUCUGGAGGGAUCUGGGAGAGGGGACAGUGCUUUCCCUGCUGGCUUUGAUCCCACUUGGCUCUCAGCCAUCCUCAGGACCUCACUGGUUCCUUGCCAAGACAACUGCUGGAUUCAGCACCUUCCCCAGGGAUUCCCCAGCCUGGAGAUCCCUCACGGGGAUCCAGUGGCAUUUUGCUUCAAAAUGAUGAAAUUAAUUUUAAAGUUGUAUCAGUCUCCCAUGAAAUCUUCCAGCACAAGGAAUACCCCGAGCCCAACCCGAAUCAUUCCACGAUCUGCAGCCUCGGAACCACAGACCAGAAUGUUUGGAAAUACCUGGAGGAUUUGGCUGGGAGGAUUUUCCCAACCCUGCCAAGCUAAAGGAGAGGGGAAGGUGCAAAAGAGACUGCAUUUCCCUGGGUUUUCCUAGAGAAAAGGGCUCUGGGAAGGGAUGAGGGCUGGAGACAGCGGGAACAUCCCUGCCUGUCCCACCCGAUCCGGCUCACGGGCAGGGACCUCUCGCCUCAGCAAUUCUUUUCAAACUCUGGCUCUUGCAUUUCUUCAGAGAAAUUCAGCACCUGGUUCACCCAUUGUUCCUUCCAGCUGCUCUUUGCUGUCAGGGAAGGCAUUGAGGAGGUGGAAUUUAUCCCAAACUGUCCCAUUCUUUUCUUCCCUGGCCAUUGACUCGGCCAACAUCUGCUCCCGUUAACCCUCGCUGGCCCCACAGCUCUGGGGAUCCUUUAUGACUCCAGAGCUCUUGGCAUUGUGUCAGCAACAGCUGAGGUGUCCCGAGAGGAGAAAAUCCUCCUUCUGCUGGGCUGGAAUGGGAUUUGUGCUCUAAAACCCACCCUGGAUAGCUCAGCAAUCAGCAAGGAGGUAAAUCAAAGUGUUUUCUCCCUAAAAAUCAUCUCACAUACACUCUCAUGAUGAAACCUGGUGGGUUCAGCUCCCCUUCCCUGCCAGGCUCUUGGGAAUCACACCAAACACUGCAAGAUUAAUUGCUUUUAUUUGUUCUGCUGCGUUGUUUUCCUACUUUUGGGCACAAAUUGCUUUUCAGCCGCUGCUCUGCCAUAGGGGCUUCAUUGGAAGCAGCGUGGAUACCUAUGGAUCCCAUAUGGCUCCUCUGGGAAACAGCUCCGUGAUAAAGACUGGAAAUAGGCACGGAGCAGAUGGGAGGGAAGGGGCACCGCUUUUAACAGCAAAAUCCUCUCUGCCUUCGCACGGUAACAAGUGCUGGGAUGUGGGAAGGAAUAUAUUAGGAAGGACAAGAGGUGUUUGGAGAUGCAGCUGCACUUUGCAUGCGCUUCUGGUCCCCUUCCCACCACGGGGAGAGCAAGAGAGGCUUUUCCCUUUCAUUUACGAGGAUUUGGGGCUCUGGAAGGAGCUGGGAGGGAACGGUGACACUGCAGACAGAAGGAGUCAGAACGGCAGCUCCGCUCACACACGGGUGGGAACACCCCCAAAGCUCCUCCAGGAGCCCCCCGGGC